UACGAAGGGGGCUAGCGUUGCUCGGAAUCACUGGGCGUAAAGGGUGCGUAGGCGGGUCUUUAAGUCAGGGGUGAAAUCCUGGAGCUCAACUCCAGAACUGCCUUUGAUACUGCUUUACUAGAGGACUGGAGAGGAGAUUGGAAUUCUCGGUGUAGCAGUGAAAUGCGUAGAUAUCGAGAGGAACACCUGUGGCGAAAGCGAAUCUCUGGACAGUUCCUGACGCUGAGGCUCGAAGGCUAGGGUAGCGAAAGGG
rnacentral:rRNA from 1 species